GUAUCAAGACGUCUGAGUUUCAUCAUGGUGGAUUUUACAAGUCGCGCGGCCUGACAUUCUCGGAAAAUCAGACAACAUUUGAGGUCUACUUCGGGUAUUUAGCUAAAUUGGAUUUUGAUCUAGUGACAUAAGACUGCAAAGAGUCUGAAACUUUCAUUUAUAUGUAUUGUUAAGAACAGAACGAGGAGAAUUGUGCUUUUUUCUACAAUGUCGGCUCAGGAUCGCCCAUUCUCAUAACUGUACAAAGAGAGGUUGGAUCGCACCAUUUGUGUCUACGGGGGGAUUCCAGCUUGAAUGACAGGACGUUCAUUGCCGACACGUACACCGCAACACUCUGUAUUCAAAAUACAUGUAUGGCAAAUUUGAGACGUAAGCCACGCGUAAAUUACCUGGAACUUUCACGCGGGCCAUCAUUACCAAGCAGUCGUACAAAGUCUGAACGUUGGUCAUCUAAGAAGCUCUACCCUCUGACAGUAAUCGACACCAAAGUGGAAAAUGGCAGUUUGAAAGUAUUAGUGCAUUAUGUCGGAUGGGGAAACAAGUACAAUGAAUGGCGUGAUGCUGCUGAAAUUGUAGACAUACCCUUGGAAUAUCUGCAAUCAGAUGAUUCGUCAAAGAAAUUGUUUUAUAUGAAUUUGGCUACUGCCAUCAAAGAGGCACUGCACGGGCAACGUAAAGUCAACAGUGUAGUUGAACUUCGGAUCCCCAUCGUAAAAGAUAUUUUUGAAGAUCUUCGACGUAGAUGUAAAUGUAAUUACCAUUCAUCUGCACCAGCAGCGCUUAUUUUGAGAAAUUUGAAAGCUCUAAAUGAAUGUGUGGGGGACAGAUGGUACUACAGAGUAUUCAACAAGGCAGGGGACUUUGCAUACAUCAGAGAUGGGACAUUCUCGUGUCGACUAGUAGAACGCGUACCCCUGGUGGAAUUUUCUGGCGAAGGAAUGCCCGAAUUUACCCACCGUGGAUUUGUUAUUGUUGUCAAAUUUCAACGCAUGCUUGGCAACAAGAUGGAUUUUGCCUUGUAUGAAGCUGCAAACAAUUGAAUAAUACAUUGUGUACUUCUGUGCAGAUGUUUGUAUUAUUAAACAUGUUUACAUUAACAUGUAAUUUGACCUUACAUACAUUGCAGUAGAAUGUUCAACAGUGCAAAAUAUUCAUGACAUGUUUUUAAACAGCUAGAAGUGGCUUUAUUGAUUCACCACCCUGGGUAUUCGAAACAACAUAAUACUUUUAAAAAAAUUCCAAAGAAUAGUAUUCAUGUAUGUUUUAUUUUAAAUUAAAUGUAUGUAUAUGUUUAGCAAUUUGUAUUAGGUAUAUUGUACUUGUAUUCAGGAUUCAUUUGAUGCCUUGAACCAAUGUACUUUGUAUACAUGUAGUUAUAGCCAUGGCUAAUGUAAGUAGCAUGUGUGUUCUGAUAUCUUUUGCACUAUCUUGUGCUGUGUUGUUGGCAAAUGGUAUGCCACAGCCCACCGAAGAGUAUCCAUAUAUUGUUGAGCUUGAUGUGAAUAACUUGCUCUUGUACAAUAUUGCCUCUAAAAUUAGCAGUGGCCCAGAAUUGAGUGAUGAUGAGGUUCGUUCAGUUUUGACCAAGGUACUAAACACCCAUCACAUCACUCUUGAAGGAAUAGAUCUGUCUUCUGUUUUCAAAACCCUUAAACAGAAAGUAAAGAGUUUGUUUCAAAAAUCAAAAAAAUGUGUCAAGGCUGGAGGCAAAUCAGUGGAGAUGCAAUUAAGGAAAUGGAAAGAAACGGAGUAUUCAUUAAAACUACCUCAUAAAUCAGGCAGCCCCACGAAGCGUAAACUACAGGAAGAUGUUCAGGAAGAAAAAAGUAAACGGAUUAAGUUAGAAAGUGAAUUAACUGUGUUAACAAAUAAACUGGAACAAACAGAAGGCAAAAACCUAGAACUAGAACGUAGAGUUCAACGCCUGAAAAAUCCAAUGAAAAAACAAAAAGGUGGGCGAGGAAAAAACAAAAAUAAACUCAAAUAUACGCCAUCCCAAAAAUACAGACACCAAGCUAAUGCACUGAAAGAAUUUAAAAGUACAGUACAAGAAGGGGCAAAAAAUGCUGGUUUUACCCCCAUUAAAAUUGAAAUUCAAAAUGACAAGGCCAAGACAAUCAAUCUCAUCUUUGAGGAGAGAGAAGGACCUAUUACUGAAACUGACAUUGAUGAGAUGCUGUUUAUUUUGGACUCCUUUAAUAUCCCACAAAAGGGAUAUCAUGAAUUAGCACAACGCUUUGCAGCUCUGCCACGAUUGUUUUCAAUCAAUGAAAGAAAACAAUCUAUAAACUCUGAAUGCCGGGUCAAAGAAAUUGAUGUAGUACAUGGAAAAAUAAGAAUCACUGGAGUUUACCGUUCCUUAGAAGACUGUCUAACAUCAGUACUCUCUGAUCAAAAAAGGUCUCACUUAAUUGUAAAUAAUAAAGUGAAAAUAAAAAUCAGUGGUGAUGGUACAAGAGCCGGUAAAAAAACACAUCUAGUCAAUGUCACAAUUACAAUUAUAGGAGAAGAAAGCUGUAAAUCUGAACAAGGUAAUUACCUACUUGCGAUUUUAAAAUGCCCUGAAACUCAUUCUUGUCUGAAAGUAGCUUUGUCAGAUCUGAUAGAGGAGUUUGAUGGGUUGAGUGAAAUAACUAUUGAUGGUAAAAUUGUGAGUGUGGAAAAAUACCUGGGUGGCGAUUUAAAAUUUUUAAAUCAAGUUACAGGAAUUGCUAGCUUCGCAAGCAAGUACUCUUGUUUGUGGUGCAAGUGCCCAAAGGAAUCUCGAUAUGACAUGACAAAAACAUGGUCCAUGACAGAUGAAAUGAAAGGUGCUCGUUCUGUGAAGGAAAUUUUAAACUGUGCCUCGAAGAAGAUGUUUGGGUGCAUUGCAGAGCCACUUUUUAGAUCUAUUCCUGUCAUUAAUAUUGUUCCAGAUACAUUACAUUUGUUUCUGAGAAUUUCUGACCAGAUGAUUUAUCAGAUCAUAAAAUACUUACAAGAUGAAGACAACUUUGUUCGGAUAUCUGAAGAACGGCUUAGCAAGUGUCAACAUUUACAGCGUUUUAAACAGUUUAUUGAAAAUGUUGGUAUCCCAGAUUGGAAAUUCUUUAUCAGUGAUGGUAAACUGAAUUACGACUCAUUUACUGGCCCUGAACAUCGCAGAAUUAUGGAAAAUAUAAACUUUGACACCCUUAUCCCAGACCAUCCAAAACUGUCUGGUAUUAAGUCUUUGUGGACCGAUUUCAAAGUGUUGAUGGAUAGCCUAAAUCAGAACAUGUCUGAUUAUCAGAUUUCAGAUUUUGAAAAGGCCGCACGAAAAUGGGUGGAUUUGUAUGGCAGUAAUUUGUUUCUUUCUAAAGAUGUCACUCCAUACAUGCAUAUUUUCUCCAACCAUUUGCCUGAAGCUAUGCGGUUACACGGAAACGUUGUAGAUUUUUGUCAACAAGGACUUGAGAAACUAAAUCACCUGGUCACAAAAUGGUAUUUUCGCUCUACGAAUUUCAGUAAGGCCGCUCUUAAACAGAUUAUACACAAACAAUUCAGGAUCAAUAAACUAGAGGGAAAGUGUAGGCGUGCCCCAAAAUUUCAAAUGACUUGUACUGCUUGUAACAAAAGUGGUCAUAAUAAGAGAACUUGUAAAGGGCCAGAAAAUACAAUUGAAUUUAAUGUGGAGCCUUGAAACAUUUGUUUCAAAGAAGAAUUUUGAAGUUGGCUUCAAUUGAUUCGGCUAGCCAACUAGAAUGAAACAUUUUUUGUGUAUAUACAUGGCUAUACAUUAGCUUAUGUGUGUUUGGAUUUAAGCUUUUACGCUUUACAUUUGGGUAGAUGUAAGCUGGUAUUCUCUAUUUUAUCAUUACUUGAGUCCUUGUCUGUUAUAAAUUGAGAUGCCUACAAUAACUUAUUUCUUAUCCAUAAUAUAUAUGUAUGGGUGGUGCAUAUAUACUGGCAGGAAAACUUAAUGUAUUGAUUUAGGCAGUGAUUGUUUCAUGUUCGCAGUGAGCAAAGUUUUGCAAGAUUACCCGACAGUUGUCGUUUUUGUCACCAUGAUAAUUUCACACCUUGAUGUACGCAGUUAAUUGCAGUAUGCAUUGCAUUCUGUAUCAUGUCAACAUUCACGUUUGUAACAACUAAAAAGCUGUAAUAAAAAAAAUAAUUAUAUGAAAGUGAAACGUGCUAAUAAUUGACCAUUGGUCUGCAUCAUACACCUCAUUUAUAUUUUUAUGCUGUUAUACAAAUUGCAAUAUGUGUGCUAUUGUUUACCUAUUUUGUGUCAUUUUAGAUACAGUUUUAACUUAAAAAUUAUUGUACAUUACAACAUCAAUCUCAUGUCUGUAUUUUUUUUGUAAUGUGUGCUAUUGACAACUCAUCGUGCAACUCAAAAGAGGUUUUGAUAUAACGUUAAUAUUUUUUUGCCAAACUGGUCAAAGCUUGCCAAAGAAAAGUUACAAUUGUUUAUCUGUCAAGUUGUUUUUCAAAUGUAUUUUAUUAUACUUCGGUUUGGAAGUGAAUGGAUUGUACAGGGUAUUACUAUUAGCAGUACAAGGUAUGCUCAGGAAUCACGAGGCUUAAAUAUGCAAUUCCAUUUUUCAUCAAAUUGAUCCAAGCUUGCCAAAGUUAUUUGUGUAUCUUUAUAUCCAUAUUUAUAAAUAUAAAUGCAAUACAAAGAACAUAAGCAUAAUGUAAACCAAUUUACUAGUGUUUGAACUGCCGAAACUGUGCUUAUAUGCAAUCAAAUCUUUAAAAAGAAUUUGUGGUUACAUAACAUUUAAAAAAAUGAAAACAAAAAAAUAAACACUGACAUCAUACAUGUGCCAAGUUCACACACACAAAAAAAUAAAAUGCAACAGUGUAAGACCUAGAGCCAAGCAUGAUGAUGUACGUACUAUGUUUGUUACAUUUUACAUACUACUGUGCAUAGAUUUGUGCAUGUAUUGAAAUGAUGUGUUUGAUAUAUUGUGUUAUAAUUUUUACAAGAGCUGUCAUACAUUAACACUGAGCUCUUUGGGGAGUGCAAGAAAUACUCCGCACAAAGAAAUUACAGAGGCAUAAAUGUUACCAAAGAUUUUCAUGAACUCUACUACUUUUGUGAAUUGUGUUUUCCAAACUUGAUCUAAUGUUUCUGAGCCUGAUGAUUUAUGCUGGUUGAAUGUAUACAUGUACUUAUUGCUGUACAUAGACUUGUGCAUGUAUUGAUAUAAUGUGUUUGAUAAUUGAUAUAUUGUACUUUGUUUGAUAUACUGUACUAUGACAAGUGUUGCCAUACGGUACACAGCUCUUUGGGAAUACUCCACACAAGGAAACUAUAGAGGAAUAAAUGUUACCAAAGAUUGAAUGUACUCCACUACUUUUGUGAAUUGUGUUUUCCAAACUUGAUCUAAUGUUUCUGAGCCUGAUAAUUUAUGUUAGUUAAAUGUUGUAUACAUGUACUUAUCGUUGUACAUAGACUUAUGCAUGUAUUGAAAUAAUGUGUUUGAUAUACUGUGUUUUAUAUUUGACCAGAACUGUCAUACAGUAUACACUGAGCUCUUUGGGGAGUGCAAGAAAUGCUCCACACAAAGAAACUACAGAGGAAUAAAUGUUACCAAAGAUUUCAUGAA